GGCCUGUUAGUGAAAUUGGAUAUCACGAGACGCUUCGAACGUCUUAUUCCGGGUUCGAAUCCUGGGCGGGCUAC
rnacentral:tRNA from 1 species